CUAACAACGAUGGCUUUUCAGGCCAUAAACCCCGGGUAAAUCCCGGGCGAGAACU
rnacentral:tRNA from 1 species